CCUANGGGAGGCAGCAGUGAGGAAUAUUGCACAAUGGAGGAAACUCUGAUGCAGCAACGCCGCGUGGAGGAUGACGCAUUUCGGUGUGUAAACUCCUUUUAUUAGGGAAGAUAAUGACGGUACCUAAUGAAUAAGCACCGGCUAACUCCGUGCCAGCAGCCGCGGUAAUACGGAGGGUGCAAGCGUUACUCGGAAUCACUGGGCGUAAAGGGUGCGUAGGUGGUGGGGUAAGUCGGAUGUGAAAGCUCGGAGCUAAACUCCGAAAUGGCAUUGGAAACUACCCUGCUAGAGGAUUGGAGGGGGGACUGGAAUACUUGGUGUAGCAGUGAAAUGCGUAGAUAUCAAGUGGAACACCAGUGGCGAAGGCGAGUCCCUGGACAAUACCUGACACUGAGGCACGAAAGCUAGGGGAGCAAACAGGAUUAGAUACCCGANUANUC
rnacentral:rRNA from 1 species